AAAACCCCUUCAGAGCAGCCUGUGGAUCCCCAGGCCUGUGGAGCUCAGUCUGGAGAGCAGUAGCUGGAAGACCAGUGACUGCUGAAAGAAAGCUCACAGAGGAGGCUCAAGCAGCGCCAAAGGAGGAGAGAAACAGGGCAACUGGAGGGGAAGGUGCUCCACGUGCAGACCUGUUCUAAGUUAACAACCUUCCCAGUGUGUCCUCCAGCAAACCAACAGACAAAACACAGU
rnacentral:lncRNA from 1 species